UAAGUGAGUAAAAUAGUCAAGGCAUAGUAGUUGGAAGUGCAUUGUGUUUUCUUCAGCUGAAGGUAACUUGCUAAAACUUGAUUUGAUUUAAAAUUUGAUGCAAAAAAUUUUUCUUGGCUCGUAAUGCUAACUUUUGAUGGGAAGUUGUAGAUUGCAUUUGUAAGAUUUCUGAGCUCCUUUUACCUUUUUAUUUUUGUUGCAAAGCUGUAAUUUUCCUCCCUGCAUUAACAACUCUUUAAAGUUUCAUAAACUAAUCCUACUAGUCUAAAGAUUUGCUUGCGACCUUAUUUCAUUUUUGGAUGACAAACUAUGUGAAAAUUCUAUAAAAAGAUGAAAGAUGAUAAGUUUUGCUAUAAGAAACAACAUUCAUUACCAGGGCAUGACCUAGCGACAUGAUAAUAAAUUCUAUUGCCAUAGAUAGAAUAAAGAAUAAUUAAUGUCUUUAUACGCAUGAAUGAUGCAAUUUUAAGUCUUUCGAUUUAUCUACAUAGAGAAACGUCAUAUCUUCUCUAUGAAGGAUAUUUUUUUUAACAAAUUCAAAAAUCCAUACAUAAAUAUUUCUGCCCUGUGUAAACUGACAUCUCUUGCUCUUAGUUUCACAUGCUGUUGAUUUCUGACACUGCCUUUUCUUCUGUGCUACUAACAAAUGCUAAAUUGAUACACUGAUGCUACAUAAAUUUUGGGUCAGCUUUUGUAAAGGAGAUAACUGUCAAGUGCAAGAAAGACUGUUUACAUCUCCAAAACUUAGAAAAAAAAUCUUACAAUAUGCAUAAUAUAGCAACCCAAUCUUAUCUGAUCUCCGUAUAAAAUGAUGCUCACAAUACGAUCAGUAUUCAAUUUUUUUAAUGCUUCCAUUUGAGGACUAAUUCAUAUUUAUCUUUUAAAUUGUGUAUUAUAUUACGUAGCAUAUUUCUUGGUAGUUGAAACUGUACUAGGUAAGUUUGAAUACUGACACGUCCUGCUCUAUUCAAUGGCUUAUUACAGACAAUUCGGAGGCCAUGAUUAAGACAUUAUGCUUUCUUUUUUCUUCGAUAUUCGAGAAUUGGGGAUCAAAGCAUGGAGAUUGACCAGAAUAGAAAUACAAGUGAAGCAAAAUGAAAUAUGAAGGUUCAUGUUAGACAAGCAGAAACUGAAAUCAUAGGGAAUGUGUUGAAGCUUUUGUUUGUAGCUAAUGUAUUGGUUUCUUUGUUCUUUUCUUUCAAAGUUUUAGCCUUCUUGGUCUUCUACAUAUAAUGUCAUAUAUGAAAGGACAUAUGUUUUCUAUUCAUAAUAACAACAAAGUUUUUAUUAGGA